rnacentral:rRNA from 1 species
AACGAACGCUGGCGGCGUGCCUAACACAUGCAAGUCGAACGAGACCGUCGGGCCUUGGGGCGCACGGGGGCGUAACGCGGGGGGACCUACCCGUAGGUUCGGAAUACCUCACCGAGAGAGAUGCUAAGACCGCUGAAUCUAUUAGGGCCAAGGAUUUAUCGCCUUGGGAUGGGCCCGCGUUGGAUUAGCUGGUUGGUAGGGGAAAAGCCUACCAAGGCGACGAUCCAUAGCUGGUCUGAGAGGAUGAUCAGCAACGCUGGGACUGCGACACGGCCCAGACUCCUACGCGAGGCAGCAGUGGGGAAUAUUGGACAAUGGGCGAAAGCCUGAUCCAGCAAUGCCGCGUGAGUGAUGAAGGCCUUAGUGUUGUACAGCUCUUUUACCCGGGAUGAUAAUGACAGUACCGGGAGAAUAAGCUCCGGCUAACUCCGUG